GACGAACUGCCCAAACGUUGUUCGGAAUCACUGGGCUUAAAGGGCGCGUAGGCGGCAUAUCAAGUCAGGGGUGAAAUCCGGCAGCUCAACUGUCGAAGUGCCUUUGAUACUGAUGUGCUAGAGGGAGGUAGGGGUGUGUGGAACUUCCGGUGGAGCGGUGAAAUGCGUUGAUAUCGGAAGGAACGCCGGUGGCGAAAGCGACACACUGGAUCUCAUCUGACGCUGAGGCGCGAAAGCUAGGGGAGCAAACGGG
rnacentral:rRNA from 1 species